rnacentral:rRNA from 2 species
CGCGGCCUAUCAGCUUGUUGGUGAGGUAACGGCUCACCAAGGCAUCGACGGGUAGCUGGUCUGAGAGGACGAUCAGCCACACUGGGACUGAGACACGGCCCAGACUCCUGCGGGAGGCAGCAGUGGGGAAUCUUGCGCAAUGGGCGAAAGCCUGACGCAGCAACGCCGCGUGGGGGAUGAAGGCUCUCGGGUUGUAAACCCCUUUCAGCAGGGACGAAAUUGACGGUACCUGCAGAAGAAGCCCCGGCCAACUACGUGCCAGCAGCCGCGGUGACACGUAGGGGGCGAGCGUUGUCCGGAAUUAUUGGGCGUAAAGAGCUCGUAGGCGGUUUAGUAAGUCAGAUGUGAAAGGUUGGGGCUCAACCCUAAGACUGCAUCCGAUACUGCUAUGACUAGAGUCCGGUAGAGGAGUGUGGAAUUCCUGGUGUAGCGGUGAAAUGCGCAGAUAUCAGGAGGAACACCGACGGCGAAGGCAGCACUCUGGGCCGGUACUGACGCUCAGGAGCGAAAGCGUGGGUAGCAAACAGGAUUAGAUACCCUGGUAGUCCACGCCGUAAACGUUGGGCACUAGGUGUGGGGCCUUAUCAACGGGUUCCGUGCCGUAGCUAACGCAUUAAGUGCCCCGCCUGGGGAGUACGG